rnacentral:rRNA from 1 species
AAGACCACCACGUUGAUAGGCCGGGUGUGGAAGCGCAGUAAUGCGUUAAGCUAACCGGUACUAAUUGCCCGUGCGGCUUGAUCCU